rnacentral:rRNA from 1 species
AUACGGAGGGGACAAGCGUUAUUCGGAAUCACUGGGCGUAAAGGACGCGUAGGCGGGUUAUUAAGUCGGGUGUGAAAUCCAAUGGCUCAACCAUUGAACUGCAUUCGAAACUGAUAACCUAGAGUAUGGAAGGGGCAGGUGGAAUUAGUGGUGUAGGGGUAAAAUCCGUAGAUAUCACUAGGAAUACCGAAAGCGAAGGCGACCUGCUGGGACAUUACUGACGCUGAGGCGUGAAAGCGUGGGGAGCAAACAGGAUUAGAAACCCCAAUAGUCC